rnacentral:rRNA from 1 species
ACGUAGGGUGCGAGCGUUAAUCGGAAUUACUGGGCGUAAAGCGUGCGCAGGCGGUUAUGUAAAACAGAAGUGAAAUCCCCGGGCUCAACCUGGGAACUGCAUUAGUGACUACAUAGCUGGAGUACGGCAGAGGGGGAUGGAAUUCCGCGUGUAGCAGUGAAAUGCGUAGAUAUGCGGAUGAACACCGAUGGCGAAGGCAAUCCCCUGGGCCUGUACUGACGCUCAUGCACGAAAGCGUGGGGAGCAAACAG